UGCGUAUUCUCUAUUUUUUCACGUGUGUCUGCAUGCGAGUUCAUUGGCAAUGAAUUGCGUAGUAUCUUAGGGAGGUGACCAUUCUACAUUGAUCCAGUGCCUUUUUAUGGGAUUCGAAACUGACUGUGAGAUGUAUGAGAGUUUGACUUCUAGGAGGGCAAUUCUACUUUCACUUUAAACGAGCUGCUGCAUCUUUGCUGUAAAAUAUCUCGAAAAGGAAUCAAGGACCCUGUUGCAAAUUUGGCCUUGUUGGAAAGGAUGGCAUGUGCCUGAGUGUAUCUUGACCCAUUUCCAGGCUAGCAGCAGAUGUCAUGAUGGACCUUUAAAAUCUUUCACAUGUGUACUCUUAAGAACCAUGUACAUUAUUUUUGAAAAUUGGUUGCCAUGGUAAUAAAAUCUGAAAAUUAAAA